rnacentral:rRNA from 1 species
UACGUAGGGGGCAAGCGUUGUCCGGAAUCAUUGGGCGUAAAGAGCGUGUAGGCGGCCUUCCAGGUCAGCUGUGAAAACUCGAGGCUCAACCUCGAGACGUCGGUUGAAACCGGAAGGCUAGAGUCCGGAAGAGGAGAGUGGAAUUCCCGGUGUAGCGGUGAAAUGCGCAGAUAUCGGGAAGAACACCCGUGGCGAAGGCGGCGCUCUGGGACGGUACUGACGCUGAGACGCGAAAGCGUGGGGAGCGAACAGG